GGCGGAAAUACGUUCCUGCAUGGAUUUUUUUUCUUUUUUUUUGUCUCGUUCCUGCAUGGAUCAUUAACAUUGCAAAUUGAUCGUAAAGAUGCUCAUAUCAAAUUGGAAUUCUGCCACCAAGCCAGAAUUGCAGGAAUGCACCACGUGUUGGCUGUUUCACUGCCCUCUGUGCCCCACUUUCAGCCCUACUGUCAAGGCAAAGAUUGAGGAGCAUAUAAAUGGACACAUUAAAAAUGCUUUGCCUUCAAAGACAAAAUGAUAUGCCGGUGCACUUUCACUGCCCUGUCUGUAACAUGACAGUCAUACAGCGUGGGGAUAUGGCAAGGCAAUUAUUGUCAUGUCAGCGUUUAGGACUGCUCCCCACCGAACUCUCCGAGAAGCCCCAUCUCCCUCUCCAUGUCUUGUCUCCAGCAUCUACAACAUUCUGAAUCUUCAGUAGAACAUUCAUGUGCUCUACCCUCUGUGCUAAAUGAAACUGUGGCUUGUAGAAAGUCCAUGAAAAUCAAACGCCCUCAGUGUGAUCUUAGUCUUCUUACAAAAAAAACUUUAAGGCUCACAUGAUGAGGAGGCAUUCAAACAGAUCAAUAGAUGUUUGCUGGCCUGUUAUCUGCAGUGUUUUUGUGUAGAGGGACUUCUUCCUCUUUGUUUUUCAGUUUGCAGAGGACAUGGAGCUCUUUUUAAAAGCAUGUGCUGACAAGCAGAGACUACAGGUCAAUGCCACGUUUGACAUUUAAUGGACAGAUGAAGGCCCUGCUGUUUGUGUUUUUUAUGUGUUAUUUGUUUUUCAGUGUACAGAAUUCCAGUUAAACUUAUUAUAAAAUGUUGUUCACUUGUUUUAUGUCCAUACUUAUAGUCAAAAAUUUAAGUGUAAAUGUAACAGCAUUGUUUAUACUUGUAACUUUAGAGUAAAAAGCUGAUUUUUGAUAUUAACAUUAAUGUAUUACCCGGUAAUCAAUAAUAUUGUUACACAUUUUACGCAUUAACCCUCUGGGCUCUGUGCUGGCCAUUUGUGGCCACUUCACUUCUUCUUGUUUGACUACUACACUGCAGUGGACCAAAAGAAUGACACAGGUUUGAUCUUAAGGAUCUAAUAGUUGUGUGUGUUUGUGCAUGACAUUGCAAUGAAAAUAUGUAUUUGCAAGAUAGACUGGAAUAAAUUAUGACGCAUCAAAUAUCA